CUGCAGUGUGUGUUCGUGUGGGUUGUGUUGUCGUGGCCAUGAAGGAGCACUGUCGUGUCAAGCCGGCAAGCGACGGUGUCACCUUUAAGCCAUGUCUGUGGUGUAACAACCACAGGUGUGGAUGGGUGUUGGGCGGUGCUCUGCACGCGUUGUGGAGCCUGUCGGCUCGUCUGCAUGCCUUUGGAUGCCCUUGAAAAGGUGUCGCGGGCGAUGGCACGUUUACUUUGAACAAAUUUGAGUGCUCAAGGCAGGCCGUUGUUGCCUGAAAAGUUUUGCAUGGAAUAAUGGAAUAGGACUUCGGUUCUAUUUCGUUUGGUUUUCGGAUCCGAAGUAAUGAUCAAAAGAGACAGGCGGGGACGUUUGUACGGCUGCGCUAGAGGUGAAAUUCAUGGACCGUAGCCAGACAAACUAAAGCGAAAGCAUUCGUCAAGCAUGUUUUCAUUGGCCAUGAGCGAAAGNCAGAGGCUCGAAGACGAUCAGAUACCGUCCUAGUUCUGACCAUAAACGAUGCCAACUGACGAUCCGUGGUGGUAGUAAUGUUACCUUCCCCACGGGCAGUCCCCGGGAAACCUUUAAGUGUUUGGGUUCCGGGGAAGUAUGGUUGCAAAGCUGAAACUUAAAGGAAUUGACGGAAGGCACCACCAGGAGUGGCAUGCGGCUUAAUUUGACUCAACACGGGAAAACUCACCCGGGCCGGACACUAUGAGGAUUGACAGAUUGAGAGCUCUUUCUUGAUUUGGUGGAUGGUGGUGCAUGGCCGUUCUUAGUUGGUGGAGCGAUUUGUCUGGUUAAUUCCGAUAACGAACGAGACUCCAGCCUGCUAAUUAGUGCGUUUGUCCACUGCACCUGGGUAGGUGAUGUUGGAUGACGCCAUUUACCAUAGGCGCCUCGGUCCUGCUUCACCCAUUCCUGCUGUCGUGCUACUGCUCUACCCUCUACCUCUGCCACUGCCUCUGCCUAUGCCUAUCCUUCCCUGCUCCUACUCCUGCUCCUGCUCUGCUACCUGGUUGGUUGCAUGGUUGUUGGGAGUGGAGUGGAGUGGAGUGGAGUGGAGUGCAGUGCAGUGGAGGGUGGGGGUUUGGGGGUGGGGUAAUGCGGGGUUAGCGGCGGACGGGAGGGGUAGUAUGGAGUGGGCUUGACGCUUGUGGUUGGUUAGUCUAGCGUUGGCUCCGGGUGUGGCGCGAAUGCUUACUUCUUAGAGGGACAAGCGGGAGAAGCCGCACGAAAUAGAGCAAUAACAGGUCUGUGAUGCCCUUAGAUGUCCGGGGCCGCACGCGCGCUACAAUGACGGUGUCAGCGAGUCAGACCUUCUGGCCCGAAAGGGUUGGGCAAACUGGUCAAUCACCGUCGUGACAGGGAUCGGGGCUUGGAAUUGUUCUCCGUGAACGAGGAAUUCCUAGUAAGUGCAAGUCAUAAGCUUGCGCUGAUUACGUCCCUGCCCUUUGUACACACCGCCCGUCGCUACUACCGAUUGAAUGGUUUAGUAAGGUCCUUGGAUUGGCNUCAUUGC
rnacentral:rRNA from 1 species